AUCAGCUGAGUCGAUUUGAGACGAUGAAAACACGUGGUGAUGUGAAAUGGCGAGUGUGUAGUGCAGUGCGCGGCGAUAAUGAGAUAAUUGUGAGUGCGGUGAUGGAUGAGACGAAUAAGGUGCGACAAAUAUUACGGUGGAUGAUGUGAUGAUUGUGUAGUGAGUGUCGAGAAAUGUUUUACGUGCCGGCGGACGGCGGGUCCGCGUUAUUCACGCCCGGAAUGCGGACGAGCGGGCGCACGAGUUCGGAAGUGGCGGUGCGGAUUAAGGAGGCCCGUUGGCUGUCGCACGUAGUACACCCUACUUGCCGAAUUUGCCCGGCUGUUAAACGUACUUUUGUGGAAUGUCUGAGAUCAUCCAAUUACAAAGCAGAUAAAUUGUUGAAAUUACUUUUCGAUGAAUUCGAGUCAUAUGGAGACGAAGUAAUAUACGGCAAUUUACGUAAGAUCAGUAUAACAGGAACCACAGUCACAGAUAGUCGACGGUCUGAAACAAUUGCAAAUAUCAACAUUUGUUACGAAUUAAUUAAAUUCUAUAACGUAAAGUCAUGGCCGAGGGUACCAGCAGUGACUAUAUGAUGUGAUGGAAUUAUUGAAGGCGGUGGAAUUUAUCCGUAAAAAGGCAAAAGAUGUAUGUAUCAAUGAAGAACAAAUCAAGACAGUGGCGGAGGAGUGGCGGCGACAGGCAACCGCAUGGGCGACGGGCGACCGCAUGGGCGACGGGCGAGGAGAACGAAAGCGUAACUUUGAUUAAAUAAGGAAGCAAAGUUUAAAUAUGUAACAGGUAGACUCCACAACGCUGAUUCUAUAACGCAGCUCCAUAAAGCAGAGUCCAUAAUACACCAAAAACAAGGUAUGAAUUUUACAUUAUACAUAUAUAUACAUUUACAUAUAUUAUUUACA